UGAAGAACCUACAAAUUCAGAGUUGCUGGGGGCAGUGAGUGAAGAGUAAGGGCCAGGUCAAGGGUCCCGAGGUGGAGCUACAAGGGUGAGUGGGGCCAGGUUCCCCAGCAGUGUUGGUCUGAUCAGGAAGUACAUCCUCACCCUGAUGGAGUGGGGAGCCAGGGGUGGGCUGCAGACGCAUCGAUUCUACGAGAAAUCUAAUUUAGUCCUAAGAGCUGGGCAUUGUGCUAGGACCUGAAGUGUGGUACACAGCCCUGCUGCCGGGUUGACCAUGCUACAAGGGCACAGACCAUGAGUACCAACAGCUACGUAGGAAUAACAUGAUGUGGGCCAGGGGUGUUGCAGAUCAAGUGAUCAGAGAAGGCCACACUGAACAUGCACAGAAGCCUGAAGGACAGGAGGCAAGCAGCUGUGUGGGCACUUGGAGACGUGCCUUGCUGGCUGAGGGCAUCGCAGAGGAAAAGUCCUGAGGGCUGCUUCUUCAAGACAAGCCAGUGUGCAUGGAGCAGAAUCGAGCAGAUGAGGCCAAGAUGGAAGCCAGGAAGCCAGCGAGAAGUCCAUUGCCAAAUCCAGGUGAGAGGCGAUAGAGAAAGCAGCCACGGUCAGUUCUCAGGUAGGCUUUAAAGGAAGAGCCCCAGGGAUCUGCUCACGGAUUGACUAGAAGGUAUGAGGAGCCUUACUGCAGGGGGAGAGAGAGAUGUGCGGCUAGAGGGAGAGGGAGGAGUGGUGGCAGAUCGAGACUUUGGAGGACGUUUGUGUAGUAGAGACAUGCCAUUUGGACAUUCUAGCGGUGACUGGGUGGCAGCUGAGCUAGGCUGCAGCCUAUAGACGGUGGUGGCGGCGGCGCAUGUGAAACGAGGCUUGGGAACAGAGCAGGGCGUGCUAGAGUCAGGCCAUGUCACAGGAGACCUGCGGUGGAGACACGUACACAUGAUGAUGAAAUGAAACAUACAAGCAUAUAAUUAAAUAAACCUGCAUGGAAAAAGGCAAUCUUAAAGGUGCUAGAAAAAAAGAACAAGCUAAACCUAAAGAAAGCCGAAGAAAAGGAAAGAACAGAAAGUCUUCAAUGGAAAACAGAAACCUGAAGCGAAGAGUUAAUGCAGUGGAAAGAUAGUCCUUUGGGGGGAAAGCAGGGGUCAUCAGUGUUCAUAUUGAAAGGGGUAUCACCACAGACCCACCGCACAUUAAAAUAGCACUGAGGAAAUAAACAGCACACAACUCUAAGCCCGUACAUUUGACAACUUUAAGGGGUGAUGGCAAAAAUGCCAUGAGCAACAGUUUUAGUCUUCUGUUACUGGAUAAAAAGCACUACACGCUUAGUGCCUUAAAAUCACAUACAUGGAUGGCCUCAGUGUUCAGAUAUUUGACAUGGAUCUCACGGUGAGCAGAAUGGAUUCUUGGGUAGCUAUCAGUUAGUUGAUUGUAGAAUUUACAGCAAACACACAGGAAGGGGAAGGGCUAAAAGGAGUUGGAAAAGGAAGAGAGAGGCUGGAAAGUCUGCCCAGGAAGCCACAGGAGCGGAGACAGUGCGACACUGGUAAACCGAUCACGAGGAGGACUCAGAAGUAGACCGCACGGAUCUCUCUGGUUUUGUUGAUGCUGUUUUUCAUAAAGAUGAAAAGAAAGUCAAAGGAGGCGUGGUAGCCUUUUCAAUAAACGGGGCUGGAAAUACUGGGGAUCCAUAUGUAAAAUAAAACAAAAGAACCUCACAUCUGACAUAAAAUUUAACUCAAAACGGACUAUAGACCUGAAGAUAAAAUGUAAAUAUAAAAAACUGGAACAGUAGGAAAAAAAUCUUCGUUGUGUUUAUUUAGGCCAGCAGUUCUCAGACCAAACACCAAAGCACAACCCAUAAAAGAAGUGACGUUAACGUCACCAAAAUGGACCGUUUCUGCUCUGAAAGACCUCGUUAAGGAAAACUACAGACAGUAAGAAAAUAUUCGGGAAUCACAUUAUGAUACAAAGGACUUGCGUCCCGAAUACAUACAUAAAAACUCUCAAAACUCAUCAACAGCCUCUGAAAGAAAAAAACGGGCUUAAGAUCUGAAAAAACAUCACCCAGGAAACGGCACCACAGGAAGAGAAGUAGAUGGCAGAUGAACAAGGGCGCAGCGUAACCACUGCCUGUUAAGCGCCUACGUGCGAUGCGAGCCGCCCACCUCGUUUGAGCUCAUCGUUGCGUUCACCUGCCCCACGGUCUUCCUCAGUUUCACUUCCCGUCCGCUUUCUCAAGCACGAUCUCUUCAGGGACUGGGCUCUCCUGACAACAUGCCCGAAGUGUUCGAGGCAAAGUCUCGCCAUCCUUGCUCCAGGGAACAUUCUGGCUCUAGUUCUUGCAAGAGAGGUUUGUUCCUCCAGUUUAACAGUUUCUGAUACGAACCGUAUUCCUCAGCACCGCAAUUCAAAUGUGUCAGUUCUUCUUCAAUGUUCAGUUUUCACAUUGUGGGCAACUUGUUAAGGAAAUGCAAAUUAAAACCACAAUGAGACUCGUACACUUACUAUUGUACCUGAAAAUACCCCAAACAAAACAGCCUGACUGAUGUGCUGGUGGAAGGUACAGUGAUGUGGCCACUUUAGGAUCGGCGGUUUCUUAGACUGACCACGGUCAACAAAAACGCAUCCUCAUGCAAAAGCUGUAUGGAAAUGCUUGGGUGAACGCCCUGUGGGCUCUGCGUGCAGCGGUUCACUCCGCCACUGUAGCCAAGCAGGGACUAGUGUGCGCAACGUGGCGACUGAACCACGUCACGGAGUGAGGGAAGCCAGACGCCACAGCAUGUGCCCUCAGUGACUUACCUUCCAUCGCCAUCAAGGCGAUUCGACAUGUAACAGCCUGUACGAAGAGCAGAACCGCUGCUCUGAACUCCUGAGAUUAAAUACUUAUGGACGCAGACGAAAUCCUUCUCCAGAAGAGCUGGAUGUCCACUGUACUGUCGCUGACCCUUACAUUCUGGAAAGGACAGCACUGUCAGCAAAGGGUGUUGCCAGGAGUCAAGGCUGGAGGAGAGGUGGCUAAGUGGAGUGGGUAGAACAAGCGAAGGGGGAGGCGAUGGGGGGUACACCUGCCUUUAUCUUGUGGUGGCAACACAAAAUAGGAAGCAGAAGUAUUUUCCUUUAUGUAAACUUUAAAGCUAAAUAAAACUAAUGAGGAUUGAAAACUUAUCCUUUCAUAAUUAUUUUAUCAUAAUUUAUGAUUUUCCAUGCUCUCGAGGUGUUUUGUGUUGUGUCUGUCGUGUGAGAAUGCGACACACUGGCUCCUCCUCCCCACUCUACAUUCAAGGACUUCAGCUUAUAGCAUGGACACCACAGAAACUGGGAGACGCUCUAAGACUAAGCUUAUCCUAUCGAUUGUCUGGAGGAGGAACGGUUAAUGUUGAUCACACACAUAAGCGUGCAGUGUCUGGAGCGGCCGUCAUGAAGCGCACAAAAGUUCGAAGGCGUUGUCUUGCGGUAUUCGGAAACUAUUAUGAUUCAGCAAAAAUGUCCCUCACUGCUAAGUAAAAGUCCACCCUGUGUUUUUGCUUUACUUUACUCCUUAAGGAAAACCAACAUUUUUGUUAGAGCUACACUCAAUUGUCAUUUGCAGCCAUAGGUUGGCUACAGAUUAUGGAAUUCAAGAACGAUCGAGGUAAACAAAGUAGGUGCUGUGGUUCUUCAUGACAAUAAAAUUUAAAAUAAACUGUGUAUAUAAGCUAGGGAGCAUAAAGAAUUUUAUGGGGAAACAAGCAUGAAAAUAUAAUGAAAUUUUCGCACCAUGUUGUAAAGGCCCUGGCAUAUAUUUCCCGAUGGCCCCAUCCAUUCCAGAAAGCGGGUGGCUAGAAAUUGAGCAGCACACACUGCCUGGAGCUCUGGUCUGGAGGCCACAUCAGAGAAGCAAAGACUGAGCUGCGAGCGGUGCCAGCGAUCUGCGAGAGGGAAGGUCUUUCUGGCAAGGUGACAUUUGACGAGACACUUGAAAGUAAUCCUGGGAAAGGUGCAUUGAUUGAUGCAGUCAAGGACCUUCAGGGAGACCAAUAGAACGACGUCCAGCUUUUACCAAGGUGAAAACCACUGUCGCUCUGAACUGCGGCAGUGGCAACAGCCACUCUGGUGAUCUAGGAGGACGCUGACUGCUGAGGAAGAGUGUGGGAGUCUUGCAUCAGAGGAGAAAGGUAGCAGGCAAGAGUAAGGGCGGGUGGCUUCAGUGGGCUCAUCAGAUGGCUACGUGGAUCCCUUGCCGGCAUUGACCCUCGUGUUGUCCUCUCAUGCUGCACAACAGGGAGGUCUGUGACCAACGGAACACAGCGCAAGUGAGCGAGCAGGUGAAAAGGCCAUGCUGCUACCCUACAGAAAGGCCCCGUGGCCUGGACGACCUGUGCCCGCAGCCACAUGAGGGAGCUGGGAACCAGAUGCUCCAUCCUGUCACACCUGCCAUGGUAGCUUCCUGAGAGACUACACUGAGGUUCCUGACACCAGUGGAGAGGGGCAGCAUUUGUUACUCUAGCUGCUAAAUAAUGGAGCAAUCCGUUACACUGCAGUAGGUGAUACAACGACGAAGGCUGAGACCAGAGGGAAGUAACAGGUGUGUUUGUAAAUGCAGACAGCUAUGUUUUGGGCUCAAGAAGGAAGGUGACUGUUAAGGGCAGGUGGCAUGGAGAUGGGCUUGGUGGGUUGGGAAGGAGAGGUGGCAGCAGUUUGGACAGGUCCCGUUUGAUAUGUGGAUUGGAAUCCAAGCACAGAGGCUUGGGGAGAAAUUGGCACUUGGAUGGUGCAAAGCUGGAGGAAGGCAGUGGAAGAGAUUAGAAGAGGUCCACAGCUUCGGCUCCAGGACCACUUCCAACAAUGAGAAGGUGAGUGUUCACUCGGACCUACUUCUCCUGAGAGGCUGAGAAGAGAAGAUGAAGAAAGAGCCAGUCACAGUUUGGCCCUGUGGAGCCAGGUUACCUUGACCCAAGAGGAAUGGCCUUGGAGUGGUGAAGGUGAGAGCUGGUUAGAAUGGCGCGUGAGGAGGGGGUGGUUGUGUGUGUGUGUGUGUGUGUGUUGCAGAUUGGAGGCACUUCCAAAAGGUUUAAUAUAAAAAUCACGACUCUACUGGAAAGUUGUGAAAAUUAUUUUGGCCUUUUAAGACUUAGUUUCAUAGUGGACUUUAUUGGGAAAAGUUAGUGUAAAAAACAUUCAGAUUCAAAAAAUUUAAAUAAGACAGUAAAAUUAUACCUUGUAGCUAUAGUAAUCGCUAUAGUAAUCACAAAUAAGGUAAGGCUAAAUUAUUGCCUAAGCAAACACUAUUUUGUCAAGCUUCUGUAUAAGCCCAAGGCAAGAAAACAUUGCAAUUAUUAGAAAUGAGCCCUAUGAUGAAUGAAUUUGCAUUUGAAGCUGGAAGAAGGGGGGAGAGAGAAGCAUGUUCUGAUUACAGUAUCACAACAUUCUAGGCCCAAUAGAAGCAAGUUAAUUAAUGUCCUAGCAGAGUACAUUAGUAAUUUUAACCAUGCAUUAAAAUUCUCAUUUUAUGUCAUAAAGAGAGUAAUCUGUUAUCUUCAUAAUACAUUGUUCUAUUGAGUUUCAUAUGGUUUGUCCCUCUGAAGACUGGGUUCCCUUCCUUCUGGAGGGAUGGCUUCCUAAGACCCCCCAGCUGCUUCCCAUGCUUGUCUUUGGUCAUCUCUGCCAGGGCUUGCGGGGAGCCUCGCCCUCGGACUCGCUUCCUUCAAACCCACAGUGAGAAUGGGGAUCACAAACAAGUUAGUGUGGGAUUCUCUUUGGUUAUGGAAUUCUUAUGUACGCUUAUAAAAAUAUAGCUAGAAAUAUGAUCCUGAAUUCUAAAAAGCACUUCUGAUUGACUUAAAACACAAACAUGUCCUUGCCAAAUCCCCUGACCAGUUUACAAUCCAUCUCCCCCAUCUCCCAUCUAACAGCAGUGUUCUAUUUAGCAAAUACAUGUGCGUGAGUGACUCAUCUUUAGGGGGUCUGAGGGGUGGGGCAGCCGACGAGGGUGGAGUUAGAUGCUGUCCAUCGCCUUGAACUCACUAAGGGCCUGAACAGGGUUCACGUGCUUCUUCUGAGAUGCCCGUUUGAUCUUGGUCUGCGUCUCAUCCUGUUUCUCUCUCUUCACCAAGGGCUUUUUCUCAGGUGCCUUCAUCUUCCACGACACGGCAGGGAGGUUGAGCGAAGCCAUGCCUUGAGACUUCUGGUACUUGGUGGAUGCUACGUAAGACGCCUUCACUGUCUGCACCACAGCAUUCAUCAGGUUCUUGGCUGCCUGAAUCAGAGACAUGGCACUGUCCACCUGGGAGGACAGACAGAAAGGAUGGAGGAAGACCUGCCGUUCACCAGGGAGCUGCGCAGCCUUGGUGUCCCCACCACUCAACCCCAACCCAGCCAGGGCAGGUGACUGCCGCCUGAAUGCGAAGACCUCGGGAAAACAAGGCUGUAAGACCAUGAACACAAGUGACCCAGGGACCCUGUCACACCAAGUUAUGGCCACUGGUUUCCUUGAACUCGGAACAAGCAGCAGGGUUGACGGCAGCCACACUCCCAGCAGAGGCCGCAUCACAUCAUGAAGGGCAUGUGACAGAGAAGCCCCUGAAUUCGUUCACAUCAACUCAGAGGGGCCCUGGGCUUUCCCUCAGGCAUGGAGACCUGCCCAGCCCCGCCCAAAGCCCUGUCAGCAGGGGCGCUCCAGGGAGAGCACACCUCUAGGCUGCAUGAGGAACUGAGCGGUCUCCAGUUUCUGUACGUUCCCUGACUCAAACUGCAGCCUCACACUGUACUGACUGUUUGCUCUAAAUUAAAUCCUCGGGGCAAACUCAUGCUAGCUCCCCUUCUCAGCCCAAGUUUGGGCUCUAACUUACAACUAACAGUCAUUUUAGACAACAUAAUUAAAUAUAUCUCAUUCUAAAA